GACGAACGCUGGCGGCGUGCCUAAUACAUGCAAGUAGAACGCACAGUUUAUACCGUAGCUUGCUACACCAUAAACUGUGAGUUGCGAACGGGUGGGUAACGCGUAGGUAACCUGCCUGGUAGCGGGGGAUAACUAUUGGAAACGAUAGCUAAUACCGCAUAAUAUUAAUUAUUGCAUGAUAAUUGAUUGAAAGAUGCAAUUGCAUCACUACCAGAUGGACCUGCGUUGUAUUAGCUAGUAGGUGAGGUAACGGCUCACCUAGGCGACGAUACAUAGCCGACCUGAGGGGGUGAUCGGCCACACUGGGACUGAGACACGGCCCAGACUCCUACGGGAGGCAGCAGUAGGGAAUCUUCGGCAAUGGACGAAAGUCUGACCGAGCAACGCCGCGUGAGUGAAGAAGGUUUUCGGAUCGUAAAGCUCUGUUGUAAGAGAAGAACGGGUGUGAGAGUGGAAAGUUCACACUGUGACGGUAUCUUACCAGAAAGGGACGGCUAACUACGUG
rnacentral:rRNA from 1 species